rnacentral:lncRNA from 1 species
GUUCUAGAGACAUCUGGGACCUGUUUAAGUUAAUUGUUGAGUGCUUUGGAAGAACUGGUGUCACCUGCAUCUCGUGGAGGGUGGGCUGGAGCAGGUGGCCACCUAUUGAAAAAGGAGGGGUUUGGAGGAGUAGUGGUUUUGUGGGGGGAAGGAAGAAGCUGACCCAAACUGCUUUUUAAGACGUGUACUUCUCUAACGCUUCCCUUUGACAAUAGGAGAGAAAAUUUGAUGAACUGCCUGCUAGAAGGUGAAGGAUGUGUACUCGGCUGGAUGUCGCAAGCUGAUGCUGAGGAUUUCUUAAGGAAAUAAGCUGGUGGCGUCAGACUUCUGUCUGUUUUCUGACCGUACCAUUGAACUCCAGGACAUCUUUGAUACAGUGUGAAGAGUCUCAAAGACAGGAUACUGGGAGACUUUCAAUAGAACUGACAAGUCUGAAAAUUGGAAAGGUUUUCCUAAAAGCUCAUGGAAACAGAUAUUUGGACAUCUUUAACCAGUUUCAAGCACAAACGUACUGCCCAGAAAAGAUAGGGGCAAAUUGUACCAUGGAUGAGAUCUGGUUUAUUGGCUGCCAAAUGAGUAACACUGGAUUACAAGAAGAAAUACUUUGUACCUACUGUAUUCCAGUGGGAUGACUCUCAUCUCUUUCACUAAGGGUCAUCUUUAGCUGAGUUACUUUCUGAGCAAUCUGGGUAGAGUCGUGACCACACUGAGGUCAUUAGAAAAGUUAAAUGUUCAUGUUGUUGUACUGUAUAUUGUUCCAUGUAGUACAUGUAUUAUCAAUAGUUAUAUAUCAAUUCAUUCUGUGUUAUUUAUUUUUUUUACUUUUAAUGGGAGGAGAACAGAAAGAAUUUUAGCAUUAAUCAGAUAGCUGAAUAUUAUAUCAGUUUUCAUUCACAUGCAAAGUAAAUAUUCAUUACCAUCUCUGGCAUGUGUAGCUCACUGUAUAAUGUUAUAAUAUGCUUAUAUUAUAAUUACUCUCUUUUAUAAUUUAAUAUACUUACAUUAAAAUGUAAUUGCAUAUUCC